CACACACACACACACACACACACACACACACACACACACACACACACACACACACACACACACACACACACACACACACACACACACCUCCUAAAUAUAGGGUAUUUUCUUAAUAUCACUGUCACAGGCUGGAGACUACGCACAUUUUGGACUCGUGCUUCUCCAGAUCCUACUAGUUCCAGUUUGCGGCACUGGUCUAACCAACAGGGGCAAGUUCAAUGUUUGAUCCCUUCAACAUGUGGACAGAAGUCAGAAGAAGCCAUGGAUUGAACCACAUACCCUGCUAUCAAUGGAGGGUCUGCUGAGCCACAGCAGCAGCAACAGAACCAAUGACCACUUCAUCCCAUUCCAGGCCCUAACCUCUCGAGGUCUUGUGUUACCUCCACCCUCAUGCACAAUCACCCAACCAAGUGGAAGCUGCUUUCUGGGGUGGGGCAGAGUUUGAGACGGGUGGGGUGACUGCAGAGCCCUGUGUCCGUGAAGUCCUGAAGAGAGAAAAGAUUGGGGACAUGGAUUUUUACAGGAUUUACAGGAUCAUAGGCGUGCCUCCACUGAUAGCAGAGCUCUCAUUAUACAUAGCACGAGACUCCUUCAAUCUGCCUUCCACGGUCAGACAUACUGCUAACCCCCUGCGUGGAUUCAGACACCACACAGACAGAUAAUCCCUCCUAAAGUCUGCAAUUUGAUGUUGCUCCCCCAGAUGAACAAGACACAUUAGCAUGUAUGUGUUAUGCAUACAUACAAGCAUUGACGCACACUCACACACAAAGGGUGGGGAGGAUUUGCGAUCACAGCAUGCAACUACUUUUUUGGGUUUGGGGAGAGUAAAGGAUUAUUGAUUUAGGACACUGGCCAGAUGUACCCAUAUGCCUGACACAGUGCAGUAAAAUUCAACUAUUUGCAGCAAUCUUGUCCAGCAAUGGCAUCAUUUGAUUUGUGUAGACUGAAAGGUUUUACAAUGAGUGCUUUCACUUCCCACUAUCAGUAAUGGCCUUGCUAAUGUUUUUCUCCAGGGCCUUUUCAUUCACGUCUAAUAUACUGUAAGUCCAUCAAUCUGUCCAUACAAUGACUGACUUCUUUUCUGUGUCAACAUAAAAAAUCCCAGGUCUCUUGCUCUGUCCCUGCUCUUCAUCUACAAGCCAUUUUCCAUCUCUUCAUCUCGUUACUUUCUCAGCCUGUCAAACACCUCUCACUCUGCCCCUUUUUCCCCUCUCCUGCUAUUUUCUUUCCCCUUUUAGCAUUCACAUCACAUCCUUGUCUCCCCAUUUGGUCAGAGUUUAGGUUUGAUUAAGGGAAUAGAAUCAAACUGAUGCAGUUGCUCUUUGAUAUUUAAGUGAUAUUCUGAAUCAGCAGCUCAGAGCACAUGAAGUUGAGCUUCUACCUUGCUCAGUGUGUUUACUGUGCGCCUCUGUGUAUAUGUAAGAUUGAGCAUAUAAAUGGAGCUGGCAGGACCACAGAGCAGGACCAGACUCAGAAAGGAAGGAGCUCCACUCAAAUUAAUCUCCACUGGACAGCCCAGUAAAGGAGCAGAGCCAUUUUUGGGAGCAAGGAGCCAUCUCCUAGGUGAGUGCCAUGGCAACAGCCAACGUGGGCCCCAGCUCUCAGAGCUGUCCUUUUCAAGCUUCCGAUCAGAAGUGGCAGGCCAGGUUUUUUGUUAUGUGGCGUCUCUUACUCUCUCUCUCUCUCUCUCUCUCUCUCUCUCUCUCUCUCUCUUGCCCAUUAUUCUGCUUCUCCUUUUCUCUUCCUGCAUGACACGGUCCUGGCCUUGUUCUUAUACAGGAAGGCUGUGAGAAGACUGCAGAGGGAACUGUCUGUGGGAAAAUGUUGCCAGACAACACAGGGGUAUGUGACAGUGAGUGCAAGCAAAUAAAGGGACAAAAAGGGGAAAUAAGACUAGAUGAGAUAGAUUGUCAGAGCUACAUUUGAAACUAUGAGAACUGCAGAUUUGAUGCUUUGCGCAUGCUUGAAAAUGUCCAUGUUUUAACACGGCAGAUAACAGAAAUAGAAGAGCCUUUACAUUUAAAUCACCAUCAGAAUUAAAUAACUUUCUCAAUCUUUA